UCGGGGGUUGGCAACUCACAACUUGGGUGUACGAAGAUUCGGGAUUCUAGAGAGAUUCUAGAGAUUCCGAAAGAUUCUAUGAGAGGAGAGAUAGGGAUAUUCUGGCCAGGGCGGACCAGGGUGUACGAAGAUUCUGGGGAGUUGCCAACCCCCGAUGUCGUUGUGUUGUUUAUUCUUGGUA